GCAAUGGUGGAUCUCGGAACCAUUCAGAAGCAUCAGUAGCAUCAGACAAUGGGUUCCCAGGAGUACUGCAGAAGAGACUAGGGUGGCUUUGUAAGAGAAGCUGAACUUGACACCAAUUGGGUGCUUGGUUGUGCCUUGGUCUGUACCCUUUAUUUGGAACUUGCAUAUUUGGCACAAUAUUCUGUAUACAAACUGGAUCAAUAAAAUUCCCAGGAAACCUAGCUGGAUGGCCAUGCUUAGGUGCUCCCAUAAACAAGGUGAGUCUAACUGCAGCCAUGCUUCCCCAAACCGAAGGAGGUUAAAUGCUGUCACAGAAUAUAAAAACAGGUUAUGAACAUCUUCAACAAGGGCACCUGGACAAUUUCUUUCAUUGGUAAAUUCAAAGAACAAGGACCAAAUGGUGUGUUGUGCCUCAAGAUCAAUUGAACAACAGUUUCCGUCGUUAAUUAUUUUGGAUGAAUAAAAAACAGUGAGAAAGCUUACACGAUGAAGUACGUGACGGGAACAUCUCUUCCAAAUGCAUCAUCCUCCUAUCUCCAGCGAAGGUAAAGCAUUUAAGCAAGAAUGGAGAAGAGGAAAGACAGAAGAAGAAUACAAAGAAGGAACAAAGAGUUGUGAAGAAAGACUUCUUCAUUUCCUUUUCAUUAUCAAAAACUGUCCCUAACAAACAACUACAGCAGCUCUUAUAACUAAAACAAGGCACCGACUUAACUAACGGAGUCUAACAAACGUUAGGACCUAAACGCAACCUAACAGAAUAUUCUAAUGGAGGUAAAAUACAAUUCCAGGAUCCUAUCAGCAUGUGAACUUUUGUCUCAUUCUAUCAUUGAUAACUUUUUUUUAAUUAUUUUCAUGUAAAUUAUAAUGCUUUUCUUUUCCAAUUUUGCCAAGUAGGGAUUAGGGAGAUCGUGGAAGAAUGAGCAAUACCCAUAUGACCAAUUGUUAGAUUUUGAGUCUUUUUACUCAAUUUAUCAUGUCACUAGAUGAAAAAUGAACUUCUCUCUUUGGUUUUAUUUACUUAUCUAGAGCCCCUAGCCCAAACAAGAGUUGAACAUGAAGAUGCGGGAUUGGUGGGUAAUGUCUAUUGAAUACAACGGACUUAUCUCUUGGGCUUGUGUCUUCUAAAUUAGAGCCCAAGCCCAAACAAUGGACUCAUCUCUUGUGCUUUAUUUACUUAAUUAGAGCCC